UUGUCUAUAUAUAGAUGUGUACUCGGAGA
rnacentral:piRNA from 1 species